GCCGGCGUGGUGGAAUGGCAGACACGCGAGACUCAAAAUCUCGUGAUCGCAAGGUCGUGGGGGUUCAAGUCCCUCCGCCGGCA
rnacentral:tRNA from 1 species